GAGUGUCGAGAACGAGCCUAGCAUGGUCGACGGAGAUCUGAACGGUGUCAGCAAGGGUGGCAUAAUCAACACGGGGAUGGGAAACGAGUUUCUGCCUGAGUUGGAUGAGCGUUUGAGUCGGGUCAGGGAAGAUGAGCUUGGGGAUUGGGAGGAGACCAUGCUCGAAAGGCUCACGGCGAGGGUGGAUAAGGGAAUUGGGAUUGAGGUGCGGGUUUGGAUUGGGUUCGGCGGCCGACGUGGAUGGUGGCUCAGUAGAGUCCGUCAUGACUCAGAGAAAGGGAAAACGUUUUUUGAGAGAAAAAAAAAAAAUGAGAGCUUUCUGUUUUUGC
rnacentral:misc_RNA from 1 species